rnacentral:tRNA from 1 species
GCCGAUGUAGCUCAGUUGGUAGAGCAACGCAUUCGUAAUGCGUAGGUCCGCAGUUCAAGUCUGCGCAUCGGCACCA